CCUACGGGGUGCUGCAGUGGGGAAUAUUGGACAAUGGGCGAAAGCCUGAUCCAGCCAUGCCGCGUGUGUGAAGAAGGCCUUCGGGUUGUAAAGCACUUUCAGUGGGGAAGAAAGCCUUGGGGCUAAUACCCUCGAGGAAGGACAUCACCCACAGAAGAAGCACCGGCUAACUCCGUGCCAGCAGCCGCGGUAAUACGGAGGGUGCGAGCGUUAAUCGGAAUUACUGGGCGUAAAGCGCGCGUAGGCGGUCUGAUAAGCCGGUUGUGAAAGCCCCGGGCUCAACCUGGGAACGGCAUCCGGAACUGACAGGCUAGAGUGCAGGAGAGGAAGGUAGAAUUCCCGGUGUAGCGGUGAAAUGCGUAGAGAUCGGGAGGAAUACCAGUGGCGAAGGCGGCUUUCUGGACUGACACUGACGCUGAGGUGCGAAAGCGUGGGUAGCAAACAGGAUUAGAUACCCCUGUAGUC
rnacentral:rRNA from 1 species